rnacentral:lncRNA from 1 species
UGUAAAAUGUGGGCACAAUAUUUAAUCUCUCGCCUUUUUAAAGCUUAAUAGUGGAUAAUAGGGGGGCAGUAUCAAGGGAUAAUUUGGGUCCCCACAGUACCAAAGCAUUUAGAAACCUCUGUUUAAUUUAAGGAAUGAGAUAAGUUACUGCUUUUCUAGACUUCCUAGCAUGGGCUGUUGUGCUGGAGAGAACGAGAGCUACGAAGAGACUACAGUGCCUCUGACUUUUUCAUAGGACAGUUGGCCGAGGAAGACAAACAUAAAGAUGAAGUGCUUAAUUCAAGGUCACACAAUGUCGGGGAUGGACCUCCAGAUUUCCUUACUGGUGAGACGUGGUCUUGUAACACAGUGGUUAAGAAUGUGACUUUGGAGCCAGCCUGCUAGGGGCUGAAUUCUGACUCAGCCAUUUACUAACUGUGUGACCUUAGGGAGGAGGACCUGGUUGAUAGAAGAAUUUAUCUCGUAGUCUUAACAUCCACUGUAAUUCCAAACUUUGAGGACGAUAGAGAUCAGUGGGCUUUGACUGCCCAGCAUGCAGUCUCCAUUCUUAGGUCACAGAAUUUUCCACACUCCUUGACAGAGGUGCUUAACCCUUAUCCAUCAGCAUUCUCAGACAGCACCUCCGGUUAGGGACAGUAUCUGACCGUCCGACAUCCCUGCAGCCCCCAUGUGUCACACAGACUCAGCCUCAGGUAGAUGGUUUCCGUAGAUGGUGGCUUUCUUUGGACCCUUGACAUCAACCAGUUACUAUUUGGGGACCAGAUGUGCAGAGGUAAUGAAUACCAGGGAAUCAGGAAACCACUGGAUCAGUUCUUUGAGCCACAGAACAACACUCAUCCCAGCAGCUGGGAAGCUAUCUGCAAAAGUCCAUCUGCAGAAAGGGCUUCCUGGUCUUGCGUGUGGCUGGGCCAUUUCUCUGGAUGCAGGUUUUUCAUUAUACAGUCUUCUCAAAGAACCACCUGCUCUCAACACCUUCUCG